UGCGCGUGUGUGAAGAAGCCUUUGGUUGUAAGCACUUUAAUCGAGGAGGAGGCUACUUUUAGUUAUACCUAGAGAUAGUGGACGUUACUCGCAGAAUAAGCGCCGGCUAACUCUGUGCCAGCAGCCGCGGUAAUACAGAGGGUGCAAGCGUUAAUCGGAUUUACUGGGCGUAAAGCGCGCGUAGGCGGCUAAUUAAGUCAAAUGUGAAAUCCCCGAGCUUAACUUGGGAAUUGCAUUCGAUACUGGUUAGCUAGAGUGUGGGAGAGGAUGGUAGAAUUCCAGGUGUAGCGGUGAAAUGCGUAGAGAUCUGGAGGAAUACCGAUGGCGAAGGCAGCCAUCUGGCCUAACACUGACGCUGAGGUGCGAAAGCAUGGGGAGCAAACAGGAUUAGAUACCCUGGUAGUCCAUGCCGUAAACGAUGUCUACUAGCCGUUGGGGCCUUUGAGGCUUUAGUGGCGCAGCUAACGCGAUAAGUAGAACGCCUGGGGAGUACGAGUCCCAAGACUAAAACUCCCAUGAAUUGGACGGAUGCCCGAACAGCGGUGGAGCAUGUGGUUAAU
rnacentral:rRNA from 1 species